rnacentral:lncRNA from 1 species
CACCACGAAUUGAAAAAUUCACCACGAUUUUUAAGUUCACCACAUUCUUAUUUCUUUUUUCUCCUCUCAUCCAUCCCAUCCCUUCUUUUUUUCCUUUAAUUUCUCGACAUACAAAAGCACCCCUCUCCACCCUGCUUUUUUUUUUUUAAGUUCCGUCGUUCUUUUGUCUGUCUGUCUCUCUCUCUCCUUUCUUUCCUUAUUUAUUGCUCUUUCUUUGACCCACACACAACACUCUUUCUAACAACCAAUUUUUAUUAUAUCUAUAGAACAACAACUCCGCCUAUUUAUUCAAAAUUUAAACGAAAAAAGAAUAUGGGAAUUUGCGACAAGGUUUUUUUUACAUAAAAUUUUAUUGCAAAAUUAUCAUCUCUAAAAUUCUCCAAUAUGAUGACAAACAUUUAUUUUUUUUAUAGUUGGCAAUGCUGUUCACUGUUGUAGAGUUUUACAAAAACAAACAACAAGUGAAAAAAACAAAACACAAUGUUCACACACACCUACACGGUUUUUGUAAAAUAAACAUAUGAAAAAAACAAUAAUAAUAACAGAAGAAAAGAAAUAGCGAAACACGAAGAAAAAACAAAAAACACGAAAUAUCUAAAAAUUUUAAAACAUUUUUCUCAUUUGAUAAGUUUGUUUGUUGCUCGAGCGGUCGUUUGUUUGGCUUGUUUUUAAUAAAAUAAAUUUAAGCAAAAAACAAAAAAGUGACUGACUACGAGUAGUGUCUUAAUAAAAAAUUUCAGUGCUGUUAUUUUUAUAUUUUGUUAUUAAAAACAAUUAAUUGUAAAGGAAGAAAAUAACAAUUUUAAAGAAUGGAAAUGUGGACAAGAGAUGUAGCAUGUAGCAACAUAUAAGAAAAAUCGGUAUCCACCUGGUUGUUGUUGUACAGGUUGGCUGUAACUGGAUGUUCUUCCAUAAGGAUAAACUUACGGUUGAUACAGCUGUUGCUGAAUUGGCAAUCUUUGGCCGAUUGAGAAUCGGGUCGUUCCGGCGCGGAAUUCCAAUUGUCGUUGGAACGUAUCCACCUGCUGAUUAAUGCAUUAAAUUAUGCUGCAUAAAGUGCUCCUACUCCACAUUAUCUGCCACAUAGUUUUGGCCACCCUUUUGGAAAAAACCUGAGUAUACCAAAUUUACUCAUUUUACUUGGUAUUUAUCUACUGGACUUUACUUUUUUUCCAUCUCUACAGAUUAGACAUUGCAUUUAUCAAGGACAUACUAAAAAAUAUCUAAAUUAAACCAAAAUCAACAGAUAAGUAAUAGUGGGUUAGAAUAUCUCGAAAUAGAGAGUUUUUUUUCCUCUAUAUUACAGUCGAUUAAUUAGACGACAUAUCAAACUUAAUAAAGAUUUCCUUGCAGUUAAACAGUCUCAAAUUUGGACAUAAAGAAGAUUAAUCUAUUCAUCAUGACAUGAUACUUGGAAAACGUUAGAGAAAUUCUGAGAACAAAUUCGCAUUCGGCAUUGCAUAGUACAAUUUGAUCAUAACUAGAUUCUGAAUACAUAUUCUAAUUUCUAUUUCCUCAAAUCAAAUUUAAUCUAUAUUAUCUAUCAUUCAAUCUAAAAUUAUCUUAAGCAUUUAAAUGCCUAAAUAAACAAAGAAUUAUUAUCUUAAUGUCUUUUGUUUUACCUCAACUGUAAAUAAAUAACUAACUUUGUGUUAAAACAUUUAAAUGUGAUUUUGUUGUUGUUUUAUUAUCUACAUAUUGGCAUUAUGACAAUUUAUUGAUGGUCUAUUAAUAAUUUUGUACAGUUUCUUUUGUAGAUAUUUUCUGUAAAAUUGCAAAUGAAAGAGGGA